GACGAACGCUGGCGGCGUGCUUAACACAUGCAAGUCGAGCGGUAAGGCCCUUUCGGGGGUACACGAGCGGCGAACGGGUGAGUAACACGUGGGUGACCUGCCCUCAGCUCUGGGAUAAGCCCGGGAAACUGGGUCUAAUACCGGAUAUGACUCCAUGACGCAUGUUGGUGGGGUGGAAAGCCUUGUGCGGCUGAGGAUGGGCCCGCGGCCUAUCAGCUUGUUGGUGGGGUGAUGGCCACCAAGGCGACGACGGGUAGCCGGCCUGAGAGGGCGACCGGCCACACUGGGACU
rnacentral:rRNA from 1 species